CCAAUCCUCUGAAAGCCUGUCACACACACACACAGGCCCAUUAGGAGAUUAGCAUGAUAGUUAGAUGACAGUCAGUGUGACCACCAUCAUAUGAUGGUGUGUGAGCGCAUGUGUCCAUGUUGCUUAUUGUAUAUCAAUAGCGACAGACAUUGCUCAGAGCAAAUAAAUAAAGUAAACCAGAAUUUUUUUUUGACAGUAAUCGACUAAAACCCUUUCUGCCACGUAUAAUCUGAAUUAGUUCAUUACCUCAAACCCAAUUAAUCCAUUCAUAAGGUUUUAAAGAGUGUGAAGAUUAAUUUUAAGGUGGGGUUGAAAAAAUUCUGUAAACAUAGUGGAAUAGAAAAAAAGACAAUGAGAGAGAGAGAGAGACGGAGGGACGUCUCUGGAAGUUUACUUAAGGAAGAGAGCAUGGAGAUGAGGUUCCACAAGAAGAAGAGAAAGAAGAAAACAAGGGAACAAUUACAUAGCAUGAACACCAUGAUAGAUGCAGGAUGGAAUAGCAACAAGAACAGGAUGGAUGUAAGAUAGAAUAUCAGGAUGGAUGGAAAGGUUAGUGUGGUAGCAAGAUGGUAGAUAAGAUAGAUAGAUAGAUAGACAAACAAAUCCACUUGUGCAGCGAAGUACAGCAAAAUAGAUCUUACUGUAUGGAGUGAAGCAGAGUAGGGAGACUAGGAGUAGCGUGUAGCUCAGGAUAGCCGUCAUAUCGGAUGAUAUCGGUUCUUCGAGGUCCUUCCCUAGAACAAUCUCACAAUAGAAAGCAGGUUGUUUGUUUUGAGGUCCUUCCCUGGAACAAUUUCACAAUAGAAAGCAGGUUGUUUGUUUUGAGGUCCUUCCCUGGAACAAUCUCACAAUAGAAAGCAGGUUGUUUGCUUCGAGGUCCUUCCCAGGAACAAUCUCACAAUAGAAAGCAAGUUGUUUGCUUCGAGGUCCUUCCCUGGAACAAUCUCACAAUAGAAAGCAAGUUGUUUGCUUCGAGGUCCUUCCCUGGAACAAUCUCACAAUAGAAAGCAGGUUGUGUGCUUCGAGGUCCUUCCCUGGAGUGAUGUGCAGGUUGUUUGCUGCUAAACCCUUCUGAUCUUAAUCCUGUCUUCUGCUCGCAGGGAAUAAAUACCCCGGUCUGCCUCUAAGGACCAGGAGAUUAGCAGUUAGCAGUAACUUCUCCACUGAGGGCGUCUUGCUCAGUUAGCAGCUAGGCUAACUCUGUCUGUCUUAACCAUCCAGGUGCUUCUUUCCAACCAAACUACUCAGUGGAAUCAUGGGGAAGUGGUGGGUGUCAUCUGACUUUGUCAACAUCUUAAUCAGAUCUGACUCCACCCAACUCCCCCCACCUCUGCCCUGGUGGGGCUAGGUAUGGUGGGACUAUUGUGUGGUGAGACUAGGUGUGUUGGGACUAGGUGCGGUGGGACUACUGUGUGGUGGGACUUGGCUUGGUGGGACUAGGUAUGGUGGGACUAGGUGUGUUAGGACUAGGUUUGGUGGCACUAGGUGUGGUGGGACUAUUGUGUGUUGGAACUAGGUGUGUUGGGACCAGGUGUAGUGAGACUAGGUGUGUUGGGACUAGGUGUGUUGGGACCAGGUGUAGUGAGACUAGGUGUGGAGGGACUAGGUGUGUUGGGACCAGGUGUAGUGAGACUAGGUGUGGAGGGACUAGGUGUGGUGGGACUAGGUGUGUUGGGACUAGGUGUGUUGGGACAUGAAGAGCGCAGUUCACAGACACUCCUUCCAAUCUGACAGAGUUUGAGAGGAUCUGCAAGGACGUUUGGGAGAAAAUGCCUAAAUCCAGGUGUGCAAAACUGGUGGAGGCAUACCCAAAGGAUUGCCUCGACUCAAAGGACUUGAAGCUGAUUGAGGCUCACCCAAAGGACUCGAGGCUGG
ensembl:lncRNA